AUUGAACGCUGGCGGCAGGCCUAACACAUGCAAGUCGAACGGUAGCACAGAGAGCUUGCUCUCGGGUGACGAGUGGCGGACGGGUGAGUAACGUCUGGGAAACUGCCCGAUGGAGGGGGAUAACUACUGGAAACGGCAGCUAAUACCGCAUAACGUCGCAAGACCAAAGUGGGGGACCUUCGGGCCUCACACCAUCGGAUGUGCCCAGAUGGGAUUAGCUAGUAGGUGGGGUAAUGGCUCACCUAGGCGACGAUCCCUAGCUGGUCUGAGAGGAAGACCCGCCACACUGGAACUGAGACACGGUCCAGACUCCUACGGGAGGCAGCAGUGGGGAAUAUUGCACAAUGGGCGCAAGCCUGAUGCAGCCAUGCCGCGUGUAUGAAGAAGGCCUUCGGGUUGUAAAGUACUUUCAGCGGGGAGGAAGGCGGUGAAGUUAAUAGCUUCACCGAUUGACGUUACCCGCAGAAGAAGCACCGGCUAACUCCGUGCCAGCAGCCGCAGUA
rnacentral:rRNA from 1 species